rnacentral:rRNA from 1 species
GCUUACUGCCAUACCACCCUGAACACGCCCCAUCUUGUUUGAUCUCGGAAGCUAAGCAGGUUAGUACUUGGAUGGGAGACAGCCUAGGAGUACUGGCUGCUGUAAGCU